UACGGAGGGUGCAAGCGUUAAUCGGAAUUACUGGGCGUAAAGCGCGCGUAGGUGGUUUGAUAAGCGAGAUGUGAAAGCCCCGGGCUUAACCUGGGAACGGCAUUUCGAACUGUCAGGCUAGAGUAUGGUAGAGGAGUGUGGAAUUUCCUGUGUAGCGGUGAAAUGCGUAGAUAUAGGAAGGAACACCAGUGGCGAAGGCGGACACUCUGGACCAAUACUGACACUGAGGUGCGGAAAGCGACAUGGGGAGCAAACAGGGGAUUAAAAUGAUC
rnacentral:rRNA from 1 species